AUUGAACGCUGGCGGCAGGCCUAACACAUGCAAGUCGAACGAGUGGCGGACGGGUGAGUAAUGUCUGGGAAACUGCCUGAUGGAGGGGGAUAACUACUGUAAACGGUAGCUAAUACCGCAUACCAUCAGAUGUGCCCACAUGGGAUUAGCUAGUAGGUGAGGUAACGGCUCACCUAGGCGACGAUCCCUAGCUGGUCUGAGAGGAUGACCAGCCACAUGGGAACUGAGACACGGUCCAGACUCCUACGGGAGGCAGCAGUGGGGAAUAUUGCACAAUGGGCGCAAGCCUGAUGCAGCCAUGCCGCGUGUAUGAAGAAGGCCUUCGGGUUGUAAAGUACUUUCAGCGGGGAGGCGUUACCCGCAGAAGAAGCACCGGCUAACUCCGGGCCAGCAGCCGCGGUAAUAC
rnacentral:rRNA from 1 species